rnacentral:lncRNA from 1 species
AUGGGUUCCUCACUAAACAAUGUUCAAAACAAUGCUUCAAGGGUGCAAGUUGGAUCAUCAUGUUGGGUACUGUUUAACAAUUUGCUUAUGCAGCCUGGAUCGUCAUUCAAUUGGGUGCAAAAUAAUAUACUAAUGUUUCAACCUAGACCCUCAUUAAAUUUCCAGACUAACAAUGCAAUGCUGCAAUGUGAGCCAUCAAUAGAUGUGCAGGAUGAUGAUGUGUUGCUGAUAUAUGGACCACAACCAGAAUGGCUGCAGGAAACUCUUUUGGUGCUGCAACAAGGAUCAUCAUCAUCAUCAUC